UUGGUUAAAGCGCCUGUCUAGUAAACAGGAGAUCCUGAGUUCGACUCUCAGCAGUGCCU
rnacentral:tRNA from 1 species